rnacentral:rRNA from 1 species
UACAGGGGGUGCAAGCGUUGCUCGGAAUUACUGGGCGUAAAGCGAGCGCAGGCGGCCGAUUAAGUCAGAGGUGAAAGCCCGGGGCUCAACCCCGGAAAUGCCUUUGAAACUGGUAGGCUUGAAUGCAGGAGAGGGUCGCGGAAUUCUUGGUGUAGAGGUGAAAUUCGUAGAUAUCAGGAAGAACACCAGUGGCGAAAGCGGCGACCUGGCCUGACAUUGACGCUCAUGCUCGAGAGCGUGGGGAGCAAACAGG